AUUUGGUUCGCCUAGCCCCUCUUAUUCUAUUCUUGCAUUUCUUUCAUUUCUCGUGUACCCAACUCCAUUCUCAAACCAGCAUCAUACUUCAAUUCUAGCAGAUGACAGCAAUUUGCUUACCAUGCCAACUCCUUUUUAGAGAGACAGUGCUUGUGUUGAAGCUCCAUUUGAGAAAAUAUCUUUGACCUUUAUUAAAAACAAAUAAAAAAAUUUCAAUUAAAUAGUUAAAAAAACGAAAAGACUCAUUUUUUAGUUUAAGGUUAUACAAUUGAUCCGUUUGAUUCUAAAUCAAACUGAGAAAAUUAAAAAUUUAAUUUUAAAAAUUAUGAGAAUUAAACUAAAUUAAAGUAUAUAAAAAAUUGAAUUGAAUCCAACUGAAAAAAUUUUCAAUUCGAUUUGAUUUUUCAGUUUUCAUUUGAUUUUUCAAUUUUCAUUCUCUUCUCAACAGACCCAUCAAGAGGAAAACCAAAAUCAGAUUUUGAAGAUCAAACAAAGAGGAAAAAUCUCAAUCAUACAACACAUCCCACAUACAUGUAAUUAAAUAUCAAAAUUUCAAACCCACAUGCAAAAGCUCAGUAACAACUCAGCACCUAUGGGCUACAGUCGAUUUAAACAGAAAAUAAAGAGAUGUUCACUGUCGACGGCAGAUCUGUGGAUACAAGCUAUGAUUACAAAGGAGCAGCUUUGCUGCAAUGAGCCAUCAUCUCCUUCAUUAGGAGGAGUCGUCUUCUCCUUCGUUACGAGGAGCCAGCUUUUGUCGUUGUGAGGAGAUAGAAAUUGCUGCCCUUCAACUUUUGUCACGAGGAGAUGGGAAGAAGAAGGAGAAGUUGAAGUAUGGGGUGGCAACUGCUUAUACAAGUGAGAAUGGAGUCGAGAGAAAAGAGAGAGAGAAGGCGGGGUGGACGGCGGCUGUUGGGAGAGAGUGAGUUAGGAUUUCAUCUCAUUAAAUAGUAUUAGCGGUUCGAUUCGAUUUUUCUCUUGAUUUUAAUUAAUUAACCAAAUCAAAUUAAAAAUUAAAAUAUUCUUUAUAAGUUUAUUU
rnacentral:lncRNA from 1 species